rnacentral:lncRNA from 1 species
CAGGAACACAAAAAGCCCAACAGUAUCCAGAAAUGUAAACUGAGCAAGGAAGAACAACAGGAGAUACAGCUACAAUGAAUCUAGGCUUUGUUCUCUAACAAGGGUGGACCCUGUCAAUCAUAUAAGAAAGGAGAUCCUGCCUGAGCUACAAGGCUGAACAAAAGGAAGCAAAAACCCACCAUCCGGACAUAGAAGCCAACACUUGAGUCAAAGUCUUUUCAGGGAAUUGGACAGUAUCUGAGUGGCUAUAUAUGUGGUUGUCUUCAAUCCAGAGCCUCCUUAUGUCUUUUGUUUUGUUGCAAUGCGGACAUCUCUUACGCAUAUGAUUCAUAGUUACCAACCACAUACUGUAAGAGUCAGAAGUGCAUGCAUCAAGAAAAGGAGAACUGGGGGAAUGUCAUAUACAGAGGAACAGGAAUGGGUAUGUGUAUGUUACGCUGGAGAACAGACAGGCAAAAUCAUAGGGUAUCAUGGACAUAAAGAUCCUAAAAAUGAGAUUCUCCUAAAUAC